CCUACGGGAGGCAGCAGUGAGGAAUAUUGGUCAAUGGACGAGAGUCUGAACCAGCCAAGUAGCGUGAAGGAUGACUGCCCUAUGGGUUGUAAACUUCUUUUAUAUGGGAAUAAAAUGUUCCACGUGUGGGAUUUUGUAUGUACCAUAUGAAUAAGGAUCGGCUAACUCCGUGCCAGCAGCCGCGGUAAUACGGAGGAUCCGAGCGUUAUCCGGAUUUAUUGGGUUUAAAGGGAGCGUAGGUGGAUUGUUAAGUCAGUUGUGAAAGUUUGCGGCUCAACCGUAAAAUUGCAGUUGAAACUGGCAGUCUUGAGUACAGUAGAGGUGUGCGGAAUUCGUGGUGUAGCGGUGAAAUGCUUAGAUAUCACGAAGAACUCCGAUUGCGAAGGCAGUUCACUGGACUGCAACUGACACUGAGGCUCGAAAGUGUGGGUAUCAAACAGGAUUAGAUACCCGGGUAGUA
rnacentral:rRNA from 1 species